GUAAGACUUUCAUAAAUAAAUACAUACAUACAUACAUACAUAAUUGUUCAGUAUAAUCCUAUGUUGUCAUUGUUUUCUUUUUAUUUAUUUAUUUAUUGCUUUUUAGAUGGAGUUUUGCUCUUGUUGCCCAGGCUGGAGAGCAAUGGCAUGAUCUUGGCUCACCGCAACCUCUGCCUCCCGGGUUCAAGCGAUCCUCCUGCCUCAGCCUUCCGAGUAGCUGGGAUUACAGGCAUGCGCCACCAUGCCCGGCUAAUUUUGUAUUUUUAGUAGAGACGGGGUUUCUCCAUGUUGGUCCAGCGCUGGUCUCAAACUCCUGACCUCAGUGUGCUCACUCCGCCUUCCACCUUCUGCCAUGGGAUGACCCUCCCCAGACGCUGAUGCCACGUUUUUGGACUUCUCUGCCUCCAGAACUGUGAGAAAUAAGUUUCUUUUUUUAUAACUUACCCAGUCUGUAGUAUUCUGUUAACAGCAGAAAACAUCAGGUGAGGCCAGAACUCUGAUGCCGCCCUUGACAUCACCUUAGUUCCCUCCUGACUGGAUCAGUAUGAUGUCAAAUUAAUUGCAAUGGUGGGUACUUACUAAUUUGCAUUUACUUUUCAUUACAACAUAUCCCACAGGAUUCCAGGGACCUGGGAUGGUCUGUAUUCUUGGCAGUUCUCAAGAUCUACGAGUCUUAUUUCCUGUUAACUUUUUUCCUUUUGCUUGAUCCUAUCGGGCACAUGGAUCUUCCUAAAGUUUUGAUUCUGUAAUUAGUGCUACCAUAAAAAACUGUACAAUUUUGGAGAGUGUUUUU
rnacentral:lncRNA from 1 species